rnacentral:rRNA from 1 species
CAGUAGCCGCGGGAAUACGGAGGGGGCUAGCGUUGUUCGGAAUUACUGGGCGUAAAGCGCACGUAGGCGGCUUGGUAAGUUAGAGGUGAAAGCCCGGAGCUCAACUCUGGAAUUGCCUUUAAGACUGCCGAGCUAGUAGGUGAGAGAGGUAAGUGGAAUUCCGAGUGUAGAGGUGAAAUUCGUAGAUAUUCGGAAGAACACCAGUGGCGAAGGCGGCUUACUGGCUCAUUCUAGACGCUGAGGUGCGAAAGCGUGGGGAGCAAACAGGAUUAGAUACCCCCGUAGUCCCUGUCUCUUAUAC